rnacentral:rRNA from 1 species
AACGAACGCUGGCGGCAGGCUUAACACAUGCAAGUCGAGCGCAUCCUUCGGGGUGAGCGGCAGACGGGUGAGUAACGCGUGGGAACGUACCCUUUCCUACGGAAUAGCUCCGGGAAACUGGAAUUAAUACCGUAUACGCCCCUAGGGGGAAAGAUUUAUCGGGGAAGGAUCGGCCCGCGUUGGAUUAGCUAGUUGGUGGGUUAAAGGCCUACCAAGGCGACGAUCCAUAGCUGGUCUGAGAGGAUGAUCAGCCACAUUGGGACUGAGACACGGGCCAAACUCCUACGGGAGGCAGCAGUGGGGAAUAUUGGACAAUGAGCGCAAGCAUGAUCCAGCCAUGCCGCGUGAGUGAUGAAGGCCUUAGGGUUGUAAAGCUCUUUCAGUAGGGAAGAUAAUGACGGUACCUACAGAAGAAGCCCCGGCUAACUUCGUGCCAGCCGCCGCGGUAA